ensembl:lincRNA
GAAGCAAAGGACACUCAGAAAGAUGGAGAAUACCAAGGUGUUUUAAGCCAGCAGGCCCAGAGAAAUUUUCACUCUGAAGUCUGAGUCCUGAACAGAAAUGGAAGCCACCUUCUAUAGAGAUCAAUGGGUGGAACUGUCAGGAGAAAGAGUGAAGUUUUGGGAGGAAGUCAACUCUGCUGUCCUUGGUAGAGACACUUCCGCUUCUGGUAACGAUGAAAGAGUGGUUGCCUCCUGCAUAAAACAAUGGAUACCGAAGAGGUUCGAUGUGUCACAGGGCCAGGUGUCAUCUCUGUGCACUUCUGAAACGGAAAUGGAACAACUCUUCUGGAAUGCUUUUCUGUCUGCAGAACCACCUCUUGCUUCCAACUUCAAAUGCUAAAUGAGUUUGAAGAACCUGUCAACUCACAGAGAAGCUGCACAGGAAAGCAAACGGAGUCCUCACCCAACAGAAAUGGCUGAAAAUUCUUUGAAUGGUUAAAAAGGAUCCCAGCAUAAAAAGUGACUCCCCUUCGAUCUCCUCUGGAGCUCCCUUGCUCAGUGGUUUUGGGUCCCUCUUCUGGAAACGCAGGCACAAAGCUUUUUGAGGCAGAGCCCUCUGCCUACCUCAAAGGACGGUUUUGUUGGCAGCAGAUACUGUACCUGUCUCACUGGGGCCUUCAGAAUGCUGAAUCACCAGCUGAAGGGACAGCUCAAGGGCUUCCAUUGAUGUGGUUGACCAGAAUAAAGUCGUUGUGGUCUCUCAGGAAUUUAAGCCACCUGUAAGCUGCAUUCUUUACAUUCAGUUCAUACAAGAACUGUGUGGGUCUGUCAGCUCCACUAAAUGCUGUACAUUUCUGGUCAUGAUCACACACCACCUUCUGCAUUCCUUUCCUUUGAAUGGAUGCUUUUACUCUGGGGCAUUUUAGCACGUGCUUCUCAAGCCCAUAGUGUUCCUGUACAAACCCCAAAGUCUUGUUCUUGAAGUAGAGACAGGUAUUCACCUGGGAGAGGGACUCCAGGACAUCCACAGCUGUGCGUCCUCUUCUUUUGUUCCUCUUCCCCCACAGCCUAUCACACGUCACUUGUCCCUGGGGCCAAAACAUCACCAUGGUGUGGAACCUUUCAGCUAUGCACAGGUUGGCUCGAGCCAGGGGUAUGAUCUGUGUCUCUUUCCAAGCCAUCUGCAUAGGGCUCUCUUCACCCAUUCCCUCCUAACUCAGGGAUGACUGUGUAAGACUAGAAGGCAAACUAGAGUCUACCACAAAAUGUAAUGCAAUAGGUUGUAAUUCAAUUGUGUUAUUAGCUUUAAAAAAGGGUUCCUCUAUUAAUAAGGAAAAUACUUCCACUGACAGC